UUGAAAGGGAAACGAUUGAAGUCAGUCGUACCAGCGGGNAUCAACCUUUCGAGUGGGGGUUUGGAGUUUUUUGAAGAGUGUCAAAACCUUUGAGAUUUCAAAAUAUUCGCUCUUUUGGUGUACUUUCUCGUGGGUAGGUUAACAUCGAUUUUGAUCAUCAUAAAAAGAUUGGAGGAAUGUAGCUUCGAUCUUGUAUUGAAGUGUUAUAGCCUUUGGUAAAUGUGAUGAUUAGGAUCGAGGAUUGCAACGAAUACCCUUUUGGGCUAUCCGCCUGAUCUCUGAUACGUGGCCUUGGUAUCGAAAGCGUGCUUAUGGUAUUGAGGUAUUACGGUCAAAAGGUUAGAACGGAUUACAUUCGUUAAGGAUGUUGACGUA
rnacentral:rRNA from 1 species